rnacentral:lncRNA from 1 species
AGACCCAGGCUGUGCAACCCCCAAAGCAGGUCUCCUCACGGGAUAGAUAGACUAUUGGCCCCAAUUCCUCAGCCCUACAUGCACCCACCGCUUGCCGUGGUUUCGUUGUGGGUGGAGGGUACUUCCGCAGCCCCUGGCUUUGGGCUUGCCCACAUGGCUUGCUCUGGCCAUGGAAUGAAGCACAAAGGAAAGCCUGCCAGUUCCUAACCCAUGCCUGAAGAAGCCCUAGGGGGUUUUGCGGGCCCCGUGCACUUCCACCUUCACCCAGAAGGCCUUCUCUGAUGCAGCCGCUGCUUCAGCCUCGGCCCAAAAGGAUCGGAGCCCCCUGGCCGAUCCGCAGGCCUGCAGGGAGCCACAGCACAGUGGCCGGCCCAGCGUUCAAGCCCAAGCACAGGCCUGCGAGAACCUUGUUCCAGCCACCGUUUGGGAUGGUUGAUUAGGGCACGUUGCUGUGGCGGUAGCUCACCAAUCCAAUGCGUGCACCCGCUCCUUUAUUAGGCUAUAGGGCCAGUGGCUGUGACAGGGACCUGAUAGAACAGUGUGUUAAAUAAGGAGCUUAUUGAGCUAUCAUGUUGUAAUCCGGUGGAGAAGUCAAGGGCUAGUGUAGGGGCUCUGGCGGAGACUGUAGCCUUCAUCCGCGUGGAACCUCCUGAUGGUUCGCAGGUCGCGGUCUUCGGAGCCUCCAGCCCCGUGAGCCCAAACAGUCCACAGGGCGGCGCCAGACCCUCUUCCCAACACCACCCU